rnacentral:tRNA from 1 species
AUGGCCGUAGCCUCAACUGGUAAGGCUCUUCUCCUGCGAGGACGGGUUCGAGUCCCGGAUGUUGCCGUCAGGUGUCAACGGUCGCACGCGUCGGAAGAAGGUAGUUGUGGGUUCGACUCCCACCGGCCAUA